rfam:Cathartes aura contig116496, whole genome shotgun sequence.
GCCUGGCUAACUCAGUCGGUCUAGCAUGGGACUCUUAAUCCCACCGUUAUGGGUUUGAGCCCCAUGCUGGGCA